UUUAAAGUUUGUGGUGCAGGAGCGCGCGGACAAUUCUCUACCUAGUUAAUGGGCUGUAGAAGCUAUAAUAUUGGGAACUUCUGCAUGCUAAUUUACAGUAUAUUCUUAAGAUACUAUACUUUUGAAAUAUCGAAAAAAAUCGUUUUCUUUGAAAAUUCUGCACGUAUUUAACCCUUGAGCCUUUAUACAUACGAAAACAAUUGAUUCACGGCGUUUUGCUUUACGGCCAAGUUUUCCCGAACCUACCUGGGCCGUUCAGCGAGUUUUGAAAGCCAAAUCUGCGUCCUGUGGAGUCAUGGUGUUAUUUUUAACCAAACUAGUCUUUGGCUGAAGUACA